rnacentral:tmRNA from 1 species
AACGCAGAUCACCAAGAUCUCGCUCUCGCGGCUUAAUUGACCGUGACGUUUGGAGUUGGACGCCUGCUACGGCGCCAAACGUGGACAGCAGGCUAAUCAAACGGCGGAGCGACCGCGCCGGAUGGUGAAGGAAAUUCGUGGACGCUCGGGAGCCGGCAGUGUGCCGGUGCAUGGCUUGGCUCCUCAGAAUUUAUCGCCGGAUAAACAUGUAGAUGUUUGCGUCGAUAGCGACGAGGACAGGGGUUCAACUCCCCUCGCCUCCACUU